CUGAUCCUAACCAAACUCCGAAUACCCGGGAGUAAUAGAUGGCAGACACACUGCGGGUGCUAACGCCCGUAGUGAAAAGGGAAACAACCCUGACCGACAGUUAAGGCCCCUAAUUCAUGGCUAAGUGGGAAAGCAGGUGGGACGACCAAAACAACCAGGAAGUUGGCUUAGAAGCAGCCAUCUUUUAAAGAUAGCGUAACAGCUCACUGGUCUAAUUAAGUUGUCCUGCGGCGAAGAUGUAACGGGGCUCAAGCCAUGAGCCGAAACUUCGGAUGCAUUUAAUGCAUGGUAGCGGAGCGUAGUGUGACAUAGUUCCAUGCGUCCUUCGUUUUAUAGCGGACUGCCCAGGCUUUCGAGCCUGUGUGGAGGCGCGUAAAAUACUGGACGCAAGGAGCUUUCUGUGAAGCCGGCCUGUGAGGGAUCCGGUGGAGAGAUCACUAGUGAGAAUGAUGACAUGAGUAACGACAAAGGGGGUGAGAGACCCCCUCGCCGAAAAUCCAAGGGUUCCUGCUUAAAGCUAAUCUGAGCAGGGUAAGCCGGCCCCUAAGCCGAGGGCGAAAGCCGUAGGCGAUGGGAACCAGGUUAAUAUUCCUGGGCCAGGAGGAAGUGACGGAUCACAAAGAUUGUUGGAUCAGGCGUAGUUGCCCCAGCAGUUCAGUGGUUCCUGGAAAUAGCCCUCCAUCAGACCGUACCCUAAACCGACACAGGUGGAUAGGUAGAGUAUACCAAGGCGCUUGAGAGAACUAUGUUGAAGGAACUCGGCAAAAUACCUCCGUAAGUUCGCGAGAAGGAGGCCCGGUUUCUAGGCAACUGGAAGCUGGGGGCACAAACCAGGGGGUGGCGACUGUUUACUAAAAACACAGGGCUCUGCGAAGUCGCAAGACGACGUAUAGGGUCUGACGCCUGCCCGGUGCCUGAAGGUUAAAAGGAGGGGUGAGAGCUCCGAAUUGAAGCCCAGGUAAACGGCGGCCGUAACUAUAACGGUCCUAAGGUAGCGAAAUUCCUUGUCGGGUAAGUUCCGACCUGCACGAAUGGCGUAACGACUUCCCCGCUGUCUCCAACAUAGACUCAGUGAAAUUGAAUUGCCUGUCAAGAUGCAGGCUUCCCGCGGUUAGACGGAAAGACCCCGUGCACCUUUACUACAACUUUACACUGAUAACAGGCACAACAUGUGCAGAAUAGGUGGUAGGCUUUGAAGCAGAAACGCCAGUUUUUGUGGAGCCUCCUUUGAGAUACCACCCUUGUUUUGCUUGUUAUCUAACUGCGGUCCGUUAUCCGGAUCCAGGACCCUGUAUGGUGGGUAGUUUGACUGGGGCGGUCGCCUCCUAAAGCGUAACGGAGGCGCGCGAAGGUUGGCUCAGAGCGGUCGGAAAUCGCUCGUUGAGUGCAAUGGCAGAAGCCAGCCUGACUGCGAGACUGACAAGUCGAGCAGAGUCGAAAGACGGCCAUAGUGAUCCGGUGGUCCCGAGUGGAAGGGCCAUCGCUCAACGGAUAAAAGGUACGCCGGGGAUAACAGGCUGAUGGUGCCCAAGAGUCCAUAUCGACGGCACCGUUUGGCACCUCGAUGUCGGCUCAUCUCAUCCUGGGGCUGGAGCAGGUCCCAAGGGUACGGCUGUUCGCCGUUUAAAGAGGUACGUGAGCUGGGUUUAGAACGUCGUGAGACAGUUCGGUCCCUAUCUGCCGUGGGUGUAGGAUACUUGAGAGGAGUUGCCCCUAGUACGAGAGGACCGGGGUGAACGAUCCACUGGUGGACCAGUUGUCGACUACGGCAGUGCUGGGUAGCUAUGAUCGGACAGGAUAACCGCUGAAAGCAUCUAAGCGGGAAGCCCCCCUCAAAACAAGGUAUCCCUGAGGACCGAGGUAGACCACCUCGUCGAUAGGCCAGAGGUGUAAGCGUGGUAACACGUUCAGCUGACUGGUACUAAUGGUCCGAUAGGCUUGAUUUG
rnacentral:rRNA from 1 species